GACGAACGCUGGCGGCGUGCCUAAUACAUGCAAGUCGAACGAGAGCGACCGGUGCUUGCACUGGUCAAUCUAGUGGCGAACGGGUGAGUAACACGUGGGUAACCUGCUCAUCAGAGGGGGAUAACAUCCGGAAACGGAUGCUAAAACCGCAUAGGUCUUCGAGCCGCAUGGCUUGAAGAGGAAAAGAGGCGCAAGCUUCUGCUGAUGGAUGGACCCGCGGUGCAUUAGCUAGUUGGUGAGGUAACGGCUCACCAAGGCCGUGAUGCAUAGCCGACCUGAGAGGGUGAGCGGCCACAUUGGGACUGAGACACGGCCCAGACUCCUACGGGAGGCAGCAGUAGGGAAUCUUCCGCAAUGGACGCAAGUCUGACGGAGCAACGCCGCGUGAGUGAAGAAGGUUUUCGGAUCGUAAAACUCUGUUGUUAGAGAAGAACAAGUGCUAGAGUAACUGUUAGCGCCUUGACGGUAUCUAACCAGAAAGCCACGGCUAACUACGUG
rnacentral:rRNA from 1 species